rnacentral:rRNA from 1 species
GUGUGCAAGCUCCUUCGACGAGUCGAGUUGUUUGGGAAUGCAGCUCUAAAUGGGUGGUAAAUUUCAUCUAAAGCUAAAUACCGGCCGGAGACCGAUAGCGAACAAGUAGAGUGAUCGAAAGAUGAAAAGCACUUUGAAAAGAGAGUUAAACAGCACGUGAAAUUGUUGAAAGGGAAGCGCUUGCGACCAGACUCGGCCCCGGGGUUCAGCCAGCACUCGUGCUGGUGUACUUCCCCGGGGGCGGGCCAGCGUCGGUUUGGGCGGCCGGUCAAAGGCCCCAGGAAUGUAUCGCCCUCCGGGGUUGUCUUAUAGCCUGGGGUGCAAUGCGGCCAGCCCGACCGAGGAACGCG